rnacentral:rRNA from 1 species
AUUGAACGCUGGCGGCAUGCUUUACACAUGCAAGUCGGGCGAGUGGCGAACGGGUGAGUAACGCAUCGGAACGUACCGAGUAAUGGGGGAUAACUGUCAGAAAGGACAGCUAAUAACGCAUAUUAUUCGAGCGGCAGAUGUCUGAUUAGCUGGUUGGCGGGGUAAAGGCCCACCAAGGCGACGAUCAGUAGCGGGUCUGAGAGGAUGAUCCGCCACACUGUGACUGAGACACGGCCCAGACUCCUACGGGAGGCAGCAGUGGGGAAUUUUGGACAAUGGGCGCAAGCCUGAUGCAGCCAUGCCGCGUGUAUGAAGAAGGCCUUCGGGUUGUAAAGUACUUUCAGUCGGGAGGCGUUACCGACAGAAGAAGCACCGGCUAACUCCGUGCCAGCAGCCGCGGUAAUUC